UAGGGAAUCUUCCGCAAUGGACGCAAGUCUGACGGAGCAACGCCGCGUGAGUGAAGAAGGAUUUCGGUUCGUAAAACUCUGUUGUUAGAGAAGAACAGCGCAUAGAGUAACUGUUAUGCGUGUGACGGUAUCUAACCAGAAAGCCACGGCUAACUACGUGCCAGCAGCCGCGGUAAUACGUAGGUGGCAAGCGUUGUACGGAUUUAUUGGGCGUAAAGCGAGCGCAGGCGGUCAAUUAAGUCUGAUGUGAAAGCCCCCGGCUCAACCGGGGAGGGUCAUUGGAAACUGGUUGACUUGAGUGCAGAAGAGGAGAGUGGAAUUCCAUGUGUAGCGGUGAAAUGCGUAGAUAUAUGGAGGAACACCAGUGGCGAAGGCGACACUCUGGUAUGUAACUGACGCUGAGGCUCGAAAGCGUGGGUAGCAAACAGG
rnacentral:rRNA from 1 species